UAAAGUCACAUUGGUUCACAUCUCUUUUUCUUUCCCAUUGAAAUAUGCCUGUAUUGGAAACAGGUGCCUUCGUGGGGAGGUAGAUAGCGUGCUUAAGAGAAAAAGGUAUGGGAAGACUUCUCUCUGACAAAGGCAGAAGCCACACAGUUCUACAAAGAAAAGUGAUGAGCUAAAAAUUACCAGUCACCUAUUGAGGAUUGAUGGGGUUCAGUGGGGCUAGUGCCUCCAAUGGCUGAGCCUGAAGUCCAUUUUUUGAGCCCAGAGAGCAAAGCCAACAAGUUUACUACUUUGUUUUUCUGCUGAUUCUGGGAAAUUUAAAGAAAAACUUGAGUUCCUUCUUCUGGAGUCCUGACCACUUGGCCUAUGCCUGUUUGGGCAGGACGGGAAGGCUUGGACGUGGAAGACGAGGUGGGAGGAGAAACGAUAUUUGAAAGCAGCAGAUAGGAAAUCAACAAAAUGACAAGGUGGUGCAUGUGAUUGCCAUAUCACCUUCAGAGAUUCUUUCUAGAAGACACGCACAUGCUGUCUACAUUUCAGAUGGCCAAGCCAAUCUUUUGCAUCAGCAGGCCGGUUCAACAUUCUAUCAAGCUAGACGUUUCCAGAUGGCGUGUUAUGGUGCAGCCGGAGGACCCCAUUAUCAUUUGACCCACUCUCCCAGCAUCUUUUAUGCAAGAUGAUUUCUUCUUCCUGUUUCUGGUCUUACUGCCGACAGGCAUCGCCAGUACCCUGAGGGUAAGCAUUGUGUGCUGGUAUCUGGCUUUAAAGAAAAACUGUUAAUAUUCUCGAUAAGACAUUAUUAAUGUAAUUCACUAAUUUCUGUAUUUUGAUCUUACUUCCAUUCCAAUACACGCAUUUAAGUCUGCA